rnacentral:rRNA from 1 species
CACGUAGGGGGCAAGCGUUGUCCGGAUUUAUUGGGCGUAAAGAGCUCGUAGGCGGUUCGGUAAGUCGGGUGUGAAACCUCCAGGCUCAACCUGGAGACGCCACCUGAUACUGCUGUGACUCGAGUCCGGUAGGGGAGCGUGGAAUUCCUGGUGUAGCGGUGAAAUGCGCAGAUAUCAGGAGGAACACCAGCGGCGAAGGCGGUUCUCUGGGACGGUACUGACGCUGAGACGCGAAAGCGUGGGGAGCGAACAGG